rnacentral:lncRNA from 10 species
GGACAGGCGGCGGGAAAACGCCGCGCAACUCAGACCACUGGAGCGGAGUAGUAUCUGGAGUUUCUGUAACAUCCUUUCCCUUUUUUUUUUUUUUUAAAGCCAGAGCCUCUGUCGCCCAGGCUGCAGUACAGUGGCGUAAUCUCAGCUCACUGCAACCUCUGCCUCCCGGGAUCAAGCGAUUCUCCUUCCUCAGCCUCCCGAGUAGCUGGGAUUACAGGUGCCCGUCGGCUAAUUUUUGGUUUUUUGUUUUGUUUUGUUUUGUUUUUUUUGUUUUUGUUUUUGUUUUGAAACGGAGUCUCUGUCGCCCAGGCUGGAGUGCAACGGCGUGAUCUCGGCUCACUGCAACCUCCGCCUCCCGGGUUCAAGCGAUUCUUCUGUCUCGGCCUCCCAAGUAGCUGGGAUUACAGGCGUCCACCACCAGGCGCAGCUAAUUUUUUGUAUUUUUAGUAGACACGAGGUUUUGCCAUGUUGGCCAGGCUGGUUUCGAACUCCUGGCCUCAAGUGAUCCGCCUGCCUCGGCCUCCCAAAGUGCUGGGAUUACAGGCGACACCCUUUGCUUUUUUUUUUUUUUUUUUUUUGAGGCGGAGUAUCACUCUGUUGCCCAGGCUGGAGUGCAAUGGCGUGAUCUCGGCUCACUGCAACCUCUGCCUCCCAGGUUCAAGAGAUUCUUCUGCCUCAGCCUCCCAAGUAGCUGGCACUGCAGACACGCACCACCACACCCAGGAUGGUGCUAGCAUAUAUAAGACUGAAACACCAAAGUCCUCCGUGGAAGUUAAUGAAUUUCUAAUAGUGAAAUAAGGUGGCCAAGGAGGCAGAGAUGGAGUCAGGGACUCUGUGAUCAACCCUGAGGAUUGGGAAGGAACUAUACAUACCAGGAGGCAAGGAGCACUGGGGGCCCUCCUGGAACUGCCUGUCACAGCGUCCUCAAAGGUUUUCACUCUCCUAGGAUGACCCAGGUAUAGAAUCUGCCCCUAUGGUUCGGCUCCACCCUCUCACCUGUCUCUUGAGAGCAUUGUGAAAUUCUGAGACACAGCAAGGACAGAAACAGAGGGCAUGGAAGAUGCUUUCAGCAGUAUGAUGGUACUUCCAGUACCCCAGUGACACCUAGCCUGAGAAAGAAGCAGAGAUAAAGUCUAUAGAGGAAGAGAGCAUCUGAAUGACGUUUGAGUCCCUGGAUCCACUGUGUGAAGCCAGAGCCACUCCUGCAAGUGUUUUGUUUAGGUUUAAAUUUGAUUGAGAUUUUUAUUACUUCAAAGUAAAAAAUUCUUACUAAUGCAAUGCCUUCAGCCUUCCACCUCAAAGUCACUGAAAGGAUCUUAAUAUUUU